UACUACUAGUAGUAUUCAUUGAACCUUGUGACAGCGAGCAAAGUCUUACUGAGUAGAGGUCGAAACUGGAAAGACGAAAGUGGCUUUACAAGAGCAAACACUACGUCACUAGUGCUAGCAAGUUGCCAACAAUGUUCCUACGAAGGGUGUGAAGUGAAGCAGGCAUCAACCCAUGAAGAUAUCAAGUGGAUGUGGCUCAUUGACCAGGACAUUCUGAAGAACCUGCCAGAUGUCAUUACAAGCAGCAACAACACUCAACAGUUAGGACUGCCCACCAUCAUGGUUGACAACACCCACAGAGCAGAGUGGAUGGAUGGGAGUGGAGAAUCACGCAGGAAUUCUGAUUGUUCACGACCAAGUGCUGCUUGGAAAAGCCAGGAUGUGUAGCCUUCAUGUGGCCCGAACCAGAGAAAGACAGCAGAUCCAGCACUCCUGCUCAGCCAGCAGCAUUCGCCAUCAACUCCGAAGGGCACUGAUGAUAAUGCACAAGUACCAGCCACCAAGAUGGCGGCCCAGUGGGGGUGCACGCAUGGUCUAGAGAAUCAUCGGGUGUCUCUUGUGGCGAAGCAAGCUACAUAGCUGUACUACUGGCUACUGUACAAGCAUGGGAUUCAUGGUGCUUCUCUUCCUGAUAGGUAUGAUAGUGAAGCCGACUGGCCAUGCAGCUCCCCUGGAACUCUCGUCACCCAUGUAUGGGACUGCAAAUUGAGUUUCUUCUCCGAUUGAUUCGCCGAUAAGCAGUUUGUGUCACAACACUGUCCAUACUGGUCCCCAAGCCAUUGAUACUUGAUGAGCACAAACUAGCCAAACAGCUGCCAGUAAGAUGGACUAUUGUGGUGGCCAUUGCACCCAGACCUGCUGGACCUAGUGUUCCUGUUCUUGUUGUUCAGUGCCCUGGCCGGCCUCUUUACCUGUGUAGCUCAUCAGGAUAGCCAGUCCAGUUGGAUUGGAAUGCAGCACUGUGUGAGGCUUUGCCACUGAUCAUAUCCUAGGAAAACUAGAGGCAAUGCCUACUACCAGGAGUACAUAAGUUACCUAAGGAUUAUGUGCUCUUGCUACUACCGGUACUAGUAGUAGUAACUUUAAUUCCAACUGCACGGGACUGUAUUGUCGCUGCAAACGGUCUGCAACAGCCAAUCCGAACCUCACACUGAGCAGGGCCAGUGCAUACUGCAUACUCCUCAGACUAAUGCAUGUUAUGACGUGGCACUUUGACGCCAGCAAGGCGCGGGCGGGCCAUACUGAUAAUAC